rnacentral:lncRNA from 10 species
CUUUGAUUUACAGAGGCAAGGACGUUUUCUCUAAACGCUGAGUGGUGACAGGCAACAAACAGAAAGCACUGACUGAGAUGAAGUUUGUUUUGUGUUGUUUUCAUUCAGUGUCAGUUUUCUUACACACAUGCUGUGGUCUAGUCACUCUGCACCUCCUGAAACCUCCGCUUCUACUGUGUUGGGAAUAGAUUCUGACGAGCACACGCCUGCAGGCAGUACCGUCAGUUCCAAGCAUAUUUCCGCCCCGUAGAUCGUCGCCAUUUAGGGAGAACGUUGUUUUAACCAUGCUAUUAUGCUCCACCAGAAUUGGUAUUUGUAAAGAUAAAUCAGUGUACCUUUAAGGUUGGACUUUUCA